rnacentral:rRNA from 1 species
AAUGCAGAAUUCAGUGAAUCAUCGAAUCUUUGAACGCACAUUGCGCCCCUUGGUAUCCCGAGGGGCAUGCCUGUUCGAGCGUCAUU